rnacentral:rRNA from 1 species
UGGUUAGUACUUGGAUGGGAGACCGCGUGGGAAUACCA